rnacentral:misc_RNA from 1 species
UUUCUUUGGAUGUAACUUCCCAUUGCAUGUGAUAAUCAUUUCGUCUAAAUUUACAUUGGAUUUAAAUGUACUGUCUCUGACAUAAUAAGCUUUAACUAAUAGAUUAUUGUAUAUGUGUGCAUUUAGAAAAACACACUUUUAUGUGAUAUUCAUCUACUUAAUCAUAAGCAACUUUAAAUUUCUCUUAUGUUUACUAGCCUUAUUUUGGUUACUCAUUUGAUUUUAAUAAGAUCAAUUUUAAUGCAAUCAAAUUUUUAGAUAUGUACAGAAACUUGACUAGUAGGGGUGUAAAUGAACCAAACUGUUUGCGAGCUGCUCAAGACUCGGCUCAAUAAAAGCUCAGUUCGAUUUGGUUUGUUUAGAAAAUGAGCCGAGAUCAAGGUCGAUUUUUGGGCUCGUUUAAUAAACGAGCUAAG